rnacentral:rRNA from 1 species
AGCGAACGCUGGCGGCAGGCUUAACACAUGCAAGUCGAGCGCGUAGCAAUACGAGCGGCAGACGGGUGAGUAACGCGUGGGAAUCUACCGUACCCUACGGAAUAACGCAUGGAAACGUGUGCUAAUACCGUAUACGCCCUAUGGGGGAAAGAUUUAUCGGGGUAUGAUGAGCCCGCGUUGGAUUAGCUAGUUGGUGGGGUAAAGGCCUACCAAGGCGACGAUCCAUAGCUGGUCUGAGAGGAUGAUCAGCCACAUUGGGACUGAGACACGGCCCAAACUCCUACGGGAGGCAGCAGUGGGGAAUAUUGGACAAUGGGCGCAAGCCUGAUCCAGCCAUGCCGCGUGAGUGAUGAAGGCCCUAGGGUUGUAAAGCUCUUUCACCGAUGAAGAUAAUGACGGUAGUCGGAGAAGAAGCCCCGGCUAACUUCGUGCCAGCAGCCGCGGUAAUACGAAGGGGGCUAGCGUUGUUCGGAAUUACUGGGCGUAAAGCGCACGUAGGCGGAUAUUUAAGUCAGGGGUGAAAUCCCGCAGCUCAACUGCGGAACUGCCUUUGAUACUGGGUAUCUUGAGUAUGGAAGAGGUGAGUGGAAUUCCGAGUGUAGAGGUGAAAUUCGU